GAUGAACGCUGGCGGCGUGCCUAACACAUGCAAGUCGAACGAGAAGCUAACCUUUGAUUCCUCUUCGGGAUGAUCAGGUUGGCAGAAAGUGGCGAACGGGUGAGUAACGCGUGGGUAAUCUACCCUAAAGUGGGGGAUAACCCUCCGAAAGGAGGGCUAAUACCGCAUAAUAUCUUCUCCUCCCAAGAGAAGAAGAUCAAAGAUGGCCUCUAUACUAUGCUAUCGCUUCAGGAUGAGCCCGCGUCCUAUUAGUUAGUUGGUGGGGUAAUGGCCUACCAAGACCACAAUGGGUAGCCGGUCUGAGAGGAUGUACGGCCACACUGGGACUGAGAUACGGCCCAGACUCCUACGGGAGGCAGCAGUGGGGAAUAUUGCGCAAUGGGGGAAACCCUGACGCAGCGACGCCGCGUGGACGAUGAAGGCCUUCGGGUUGUAAAGUCCUGUUCUGGGGGAAGAAACCUUAAGGGUCCAAUAAACCCUUAAGCUGACGGUACCCCAA
rnacentral:rRNA from 1 species